rnacentral:rRNA from 1 species
GAAAGUGGCGCACGGGUGCGUAACGCGUAUGCAACCUACCUUAAUCAGGGGGAUAGCCCGGAGAAAUCCGGAUUAACACCGCAUAAAAACACAGGAUAGCAUUAUCCAAUGUUCAAAUAUUUAUAGGAUUAAGAUGGGCAUGCGUGUCAUUAGCUAGUUGGCGGGGUAACGGCCCACCAAGGCGACGAUGACUAGGGGAUCUGAGAGGAUGGCCCCCCACACUGGUACUGAGACACGGACCAGACUCCUACGGGAGGCAGCAGUAAGGAAUAUUGGUCAAUGGAGGCAACUCUGAACCAGCCAUGCCGCGUGCAGGAAGACUGCCCUAUGGGUUGUAAACUGCUUUUAUCCGGGAAUAAACCWMCUUACGUGUAAUKWGCUGAAUGUACCGGAAGAAUAAGGAUCGGCUAACUCCGUGCCAGCAGCCGCGGUAAUACGGAGGAUCCAAGCGUUAUCCGGAUUUAUUGGGUUUAAAGGGUGCGUAGGCGGCCUGUUAAGUCAGGGGUGAAAGACGGUAGCUCAACUAUCGCAGUGCCCUUGAUACUGAUGGGCUUGAAUGGACUAGAGGUAGGCGGAAUGAGACAAGUAGCGGUGAAAUGCAUAGAUAUGUCUCAGAACACCGAUUGCGAAGGCAGCUUACUAUGGUCUUAUUGACGCUGAGGCACGAAAGCGUGGGGAUCAAACAGGAUUAGAUACCCUGGUAGUCCACGCCCUAAACGAUGAACACUCGCUGUUGGCGAUACACAGUCAGCGGCUAAGCGAAAGCGUUAAGUGUUCCACCUGGGGAGUACGCCCGCAAGGGUGAAACUCAAAGGAAUUGACGGGGGCCCGCACAAGCGGAGGA